rnacentral:rRNA from 1 species
CACGUAGGGCGCAAGCGUUGUCCGGAAUUAUUGGGCGUAAAGAGCUCGUAGGCGGUUUGUCGCGUCUGCUGUGAAAACCUAAGGCUCAACCUUGGGCUUGCAGUGGGUACGGGCAGACUAGAGUGCGGUAGGGGUGACUGGAAUUCCUGGUGUAGCGGUGGAAUGCGCAGAUAUCAGGAGGAACACCGAUGGCGAAGGCAGGUCACUGGGCCGCAACUGACGCUGAGGCGCGAAAGCGUGGGGAGCAAACAGG